rnacentral:rRNA from 1 species
UACGUAGGGCGCAAGCGUUGUCCGGAAUUAUUGGGCGUAAAGAGCUCGUAGGCGGCUUGUCACGUCGGAUGUGAAAGCCCGGGGCUUAACUCCGGGUCUGCAUUCGAUACGGGCUGGCUAGAGUGUGGUAGGGGAGAUCGGAAUUCCUGGUGUAGCGGUGAAAUGCGCAGAUAUCAGGAGGAACACCGAUGGCGAAGGCAGAUCUCUGGGCCGUAACUGACGCUGAGGAGCGAAAGCAUGGGGAGCGAACAGG